rnacentral:lncRNA from 1 species
UGAGUUAGUUCACGGAAGGAAAUGGUUGGGAUUCAUUCGGGAAGAUGCAAAUGGGAUACUCGUAACAGGGGAACUGCUGGCAGUGGUUGGAAUCGGAUUCAUGGAUGGAUGUUGCUGGUUUGGAUUUAGUUUAACAGAGCCCUGUUCGUUGGAAGCGGGAGAUCACCCACGGUUGGCUGGUUUUGCUGAGAUUUGGAGCUAUCCAUGGAGGGUAGACGGAUCCGUGGGUGGUUGGAUCGAUGAAG